AUGCUCUCUUCAGCAGCACAGACACUAAAGUGACAGGAGUGAUACAGAGAAGAUUAGCAUGACCCCUGUGUAAUGAUAAAUGUCUGAGGUGAUAGAUAUGCCAAUUAUCC
ensembl:snRNA U6 U6 spliceosomal RNA